AGAGCUGGGCGGUGGCGGGCGCUGCUGAAGGAGUCUCGCUGAGCUCGAGGAGGUGGCGCGAUGGAGGGACUGGAAGAGAAUGGAGGUGUUGUCCAAGUUGGAGAAUUGUUACCUUGCAAGAUUUGUGGAAGAACAUUCUUUCCAGUAGCAUUAAAAAAACAUGGACCCAUUUGCCAGAAGACUGCAACUAAAAAACGGAAGACUUUUGAUUCAAGCAGACAGAGAGCUGAAGGAACUGAUAUUCCAACAGUAAAACCUCUCAAACCGAGGGUAACUAUAUAACCUUUUGAACAGUAUGAACUUUGGUGUUAUGUAUGUUGAAAAAUAUUAUAUUAUCUGUUACAGUAAGGUUAAGAAUAAACACAAUUAUCUGCUACAUUAAGAUUAAAGAAUAAAUACAAUUCUGUGUUAUAUGUUCAGUUUAGAAAUUAUCUGAAGCUUAUAAAACAAAUUUUAUUUUAAAAAAUAAGCUUCUAAACUUCAAAGAAGAGACCAAGGUGCUGUUUCAAACUCCAUCAAUUACAGUGAGAUUUUUAUAGCAUUGGAGAGCCAAUUGCUGUCCCACAUUCUUUUCAAGUCAUUAUUAAAAACUUUUGAUAUAACUUAAGUUUUGAUUCAUUUCAUCUUCUACCAUUAUGAUAAUCUCUACAUCCAAAAAGUUAAGCCAUUAUUUACAGACAUUUUAGCAUAAUAGAUACUGCUUAUUUUGACAUAUUGACUGCCAGGAUUUGUAAUCUAUAUUAUGUUUCUAAGGAAAAGUUUUAUCUGUUGUUCAGUGUCCAGAUAUAGUUAUUGUCAGCUUAUUUUCUUUCUUGAAACCAAAGCAAUGAAUCUAUUGUGAUAAUCUCUCCUUAAUAUCUGUUAUAUAUUAUAGUAAUCCCUUGGUAUCUGUGGGAGAUUGGUUCCAGGGACUCGCCUCUGAUAUCAAUAUCUGUGGAUACUCAAACUCCUUAUGGCAUAGUAUUUGCAUAUAACUUAUGC
rnacentral:lncRNA from 10 species